AAAUUACGAAGGCUCUUUCUUUCAAAUGUUUAAAAUCAACUUCUUAAAUCUCACUUGAAAAGAAAUAACUAAAUUUU
rnacentral:sRNA from 1 species